CACACGUCAUCCCAUCCCCACCGACUGCCUCUUUCUCUCUGUUCUUCUCUCACCCUCCCCCAUGGAUCUGGAUCGGAAGGGGCUCACCAGCCUCGCCCCUCAACGCCGACCACCAGGAGCCCCCCCACUAGUUGGCCGCCAGGAGCCCCCAUGCUCCAUCGACGGAUUGGCGGAGGGGAGGUACACCACGCAUGGCUCUGCCCUGAGGUCCUCGUUGCACCACCACAACACCCUCCCCAGCCAUCCUGCUGGUCCCUCCUCAAUCGGACCCAACUCAUCGCCGUCGUUUCCCGCCACCAUCAACGGGGUGCGGCCUCUGCAUCGACGGGAUGUGGCCAUCAUCCUCGACGAGAUGCGGCCAUCCUCUCCUUCCUCUGCCCGAGGCAGGCCAAGCUCCUUCCCCUGCCCGAGGCAGGCCGAGCUCCUUCGCCUCUAGCUCCGUCUGAGCCCACUCCCUCCCGCCUGGUUGCUCUUUGAUGGCCUCCUCCACUCGCCUGGGCACCGCCCCAGCCUGCAACGUCGAGAGGAGGCUGCUCGGUGGUGCCAAAUCCAGCAAUGGGGGUCGGUACCACUGCAUCUGUUGUAAAGCGGCGGAGACAAGGACUGCCUGUGCAAGCGACAGAUCCACAGGGAGGUGGUACAUCAUCUGCAACAGUCAUCAAGGUUUUACAGGUUGUGGGGGUGGAUGAGUUGCUGUAGAUUUUUGCACACAAUUCUAAGCUACAAAGUCACGUAUACUACUAUGUCGAAAGAUCAAAGGAAAAAAGCACAUGCAAACCAGAUUCUUGUCUAGUUGAUAGUUAUGUUUGCAUAGUACCUACAAUAUACUUUUCUUUUAUUUUCUUUUUUUUUUGCUACAUAGGCAUUGGUUCUUCUGCAUUAUGUGUGAAAUAAGACUCUCUAUGUCCUCUCUCCGAUAUGUUUCCACAUUUUCUGCGUUUUGUUGCACACAUUGCUGCAAAAGUUGGCUAGUCCCAUUAUGUAGUUGCACGAAAAUCAUUUGAA